CUUUUUAAAGUGAACCUAUAAAAUUUGUGCAGUAAGAUAUGACAAGACUUGUUUAAAUUCUUGAGCAAUUAAAAUUGAACAAAAAAUUCCCAGAAUGCAAACCAGCAGUGACCUUUGUUUUUACAUCCUCAGAGUACAAUUUGGAAGUGCUCAAGUUGUUUGUACUGCAGUAAUGUGCCUAGAACACUGUACUGAACUUUUCAUGUAUUAGUAGCACAAAGCUACACCCAGCAGGCCUGCCAUCCAGAAUCCUGAAUCUCCAUAUUUAUGCUCAUGGGUCCACACGAAGUUGGUACAGAGGGUGUCCUGUAGGACACGGAAUCUGCUUAGGAAGUAGGCCUGUGCUCACAGCUGUCUCCCUAUGUCCAGACUGAACGUGUGCCACUGGAGCUCAGUCCUCGCCUGGAGGAGACCUUGGACUUCAGUGAGGUGGAAGUGGAGUCCAGUGAGGUGGAAGAUUUUGAGGCCCGGGGGAGCCGCUUCUCCAAGUCUGCUGAUGAGAGACAGCGCAUGUUAGUCCAGCGUAAGGAUGACCUCCUGCAGCAAGCUCGGAAGCGAUUCUUGAACAAAAGUUCUGAAGAUGACACUGCCUCAGAAAGCUUCCUCCCCUCAGAAGGCACGUCCUCUGACCCUGUGACCCUGCGUCGGAGGAUGCUGGCCGCUGCCGCUGAGCGUAGACUUCAGAAGCAGCAGAGGUCUUAGUACCUCCUCAGCUCCGCAACUUUGAGCCUGCGCCUGCCCGCCUGCCUGGAAGAGGCUGCCCUGGUUCUGCCUGCUGUGGGAAGAAGUGGGCUUGACUGCAUUGCUGCUGUAUAAUAAAGCAUGUGGUCUUAAUAG